rnacentral:snoRNA from 1 species
UCCCUGAGUCCCUAGCAUUCCCAGCUGAGCCCACAAUGUUUACUUUCUGGGGUCCAGACUCCAUGUGGGUAGUGUUGCUUUCUUGGAAUCUGAGAUUAUGAAAAAAUUCCAAAAAAAAAAAAUGAGGGCAUGAAUCCUG